GCCCCUGUGGCGGAAUUGGUAGACGCGCCAGACUCAAAAUCUGGUUUCUGCAAGGAAGUGUCAGUUCGAGUCUGACCGGGGGCACCA
rnacentral:tRNA from 1 species